CAGGAGUCUGAACCCAGUGGUGCUGUCAUUACACUAUCACUCUGAAAUCACUUCCCCUGGCUGCCACCUCCCUCCACAUUUCUACUCCUUGAGCAAACCUCACGGUUGUUAAUAGCUUUAUUUUCCCGCACUGAGCUACAUCCACAGUCCUUUUUAAAACUUUUAUUUUGAGAUGGGCUCUCACUGAGCUGUAAAAUUGCCCAGGCUGGCUUGAAUUUAUGAUCUCCCUGCCUCAGCCUCCAGAGUGUGAGGGUUACAAGUGUGGGCCACCAAGCUUGACCUUAGAAUGAAACAUCCUGCUUGCAGACCUAAAUUCCAUUACUGAUUAUCUAUUUCUAUCUAGGUGUUAUCAAUGAUCAGUAAUAUCACAAAAAAAGAGAGGCAACUGGGUAUUCAUUGUACUGUCCCAAACAGGGAACACAACACCACGGAGGCGAUGGUCAUGUUGAAGAAAAGAUCUAACCUGAAUCUGAUCCACCUCCAGAUGUUAAAUUAUAGCAGCUAUGUUGAGGACAUCACCAGAGCCCUAAAUCUGGAAAUUCUAAAGGACAAACAGCUUGGCUUGUUUUUGUUUUUUAACAAAUAAAUUGAGAAAAAAGAAAGAGAAAAGUUACAGAUUAAGAGAUUUAAAAGACAGAUUAAUCAAUUGCAAGAGAAUAUUAUUUCUGAGAUUUGUUUUGAAACAAUACAGAAAAGGGAAACACGAAUGGUGAUACAGAUGAAACCAGGUCAGGUCUGCAUUGAUAAUUAUUGAAGCUGGAGGAUGGGCACACAGAGCAGGUAUCGAACGAAGGACGUUGUGCUUGCGGAGCAGACGGCGAAACCACUGAGCUAAAUCUUCGGCGGGCAAACUGUUCACCAGUAACAAUUUAGUCCUUGCUGGUUUCCAGGGGCGGAGGGAAGCCUCCGCUUCCCGCCUCUCGGCAGUCUCCACCUCCGCCCCAACGCGCCUUCCGCUGCCCCACUAGGUGGCGCCACUGCCGAGCCACACCCGCCCCCAGCCUGCACCUCUCUGAAGAUCCCGAGAAGCGGGAGCUCCCACCCUGGGCCACCUCGUCAGUCCGAGCCAAGGGCGGCACCAGUGAUGAAACUGCUCUGUGUGCUCAGCGCCUCGCUGUGAAACUUUAACCAGUACUCUGGAUGGCCCUCCAAUUUCAAUUAAUACGGACGUGUUUGGCAGGGUCGUGGAUUCUAGCUGAUCUCUGUGAGGACAGGAGGGCCUUCCCUGAGGCGCUCUGAAAGCACGUCUUUGGGCCACAGAAAAGAGCGCUGUCCUAGUGUCAGCAGGUCUGCAGGGGACAGAAGACGCCCCCGGGCACCGGCGCGCUCCCCGCCUGGCUCUGGAACCCUGGUCCAGAGCGGGACGAGUGCCCCACGUUGUCAGGUCUUUCUUCUGACUUUUCAGCCAAAGCUAGGAAUCAUGCCCGCGUCCUUCCAAGGCCAAAUGUUUAUGUAAAAUGUGCAAAAGAAAGAUAUGUCUGUAAUUGUUUAAGACUGCUAUGUGGUUCUACUUUGAUUUCCUCUCUAUUGUGAGGGGCCUUACAGGUAGGCCUGCAAGAUGGGUAACCCAAGCAAGAAUCGCUUGGCACCUCUGCCUUCGCUGUACGUGGCCCCCUUGUCACCUUCACACUGGAUCAGAUCCUUGCUCAGCCCCUCAGUAGGCACGUUGGCCACUGACGGACGAAGUUCAGCAGCCCUAAAUCCCCCCAGUCUAUCUUAUCCCACUUCGAGAUUGAGGAUGCCAAGGUAAGAGUAAAGUAAUUUUCAGGAUUUGCAGGGGCAUCUAAUUCCCAGAUUUUAAAGCGUCCGGUUCCAGAAGCCCUGGAGCGACGCCUUCAAGUAUCCUGUCCUUGUCCUACACCCGCAGUUGCCUGGGAUUCCGGGAAAAGCAGAGCCAGAAGACCGGAGGAUGAGAUCACACCCACCCCGAAGCAGGGAUAAUUACCCGGUGAUGGGAAUCGAGGUUGCCCAACAGACCCCCGGCGGUCAUCGCCCUCGUUUCUUUUCUACCCUCUAUAGAAUUGAUUUAUUUCGUUUUUAUUAGUACAUGUUUGCAGAAUAUAAUGAUUACAGUCAUCGUG
ensembl:lncRNA